UUAGAAAAUUUGGUUUAAUUGGUUUUGAUGUUUAGACUGAAAAGAUUCUGAAGCGAAAAGAAUCGAUCAGUAAAACUGAACGACCAGGAACAGCAGAGCCAACAUUCAGACUGAGCCUGAAGCCAGCAGGAAACCAGCUGCAGACAGAAAACAGGUUCUGAUCUCGGACAGAAAACCCAGAACCACCAUGAAAGUGUUGCUGUUGGCAUCCAGGGGAAACUCCAGGAAACUCCAGGAAACCCCAGGAAACUCCAGGAAACCCCAGGAAACCCCCGAACCUGAUGGUCCGGUUGACCCGGUUCUACUGGACCCAGAACAUCUGCUCCACCUCCAGCUGCUCUGAGUCAAACCAACCUGUUCC